rnacentral:rRNA from 1 species
AGAAGGCCGCUUAUCUCCCUGAUGAUGCUUAUCUCCUGGGAAAUAUGGAAGGAGCGAAACGCUAGAGUUUUCCGCAACACGGCCGUUCCAGUGGGAGUGUUGGUCGCCAAGGUUAAAAGGGAAUGCUCGCUUUGGAGCCUUGCAGGAGCAAAACAUUUGUGUAACAUUAUGUCGAGAGAGUGA